UAAACCACAAUUUUGAAUUAUUGAACCGGAACAUCCGGAGCUCCAAUUCAUGAUCCGCGAAUUUCUACAUGAUCCUAGGAGUGCCUAGAUCUACAUAUAAAACUUUGGAAGCGAUCCAAAGGUCCGAACAUAUCAAACCUGGAUAACACAUAAUAUGCGAAAUCCGUUCGAUAGUCAAACAAUAUCCGAAUUGAAAUCCGAGCAUGCCUACGUGCUCGUGACCACACAAGGAUUAC
rnacentral:lncRNA from 1 species